GCCAGCAGUCAUAUCAUUCUGCAACUCACAACUGGCAACCCACCGAAGCUCAGCAGGUGUGAGCCUGGUCGGUGCCUGAAUGGGAGACCUCCUGGGAAAAACUAAGGUUGCUGCUGGGA
rnacentral:rRNA from 1 species